AAUUAUUUAUCAUAAAAUAAUGAAUUUAUCUUCGAAAUAAAAUAUUUAAAAUUAUAAUAAUUU
rnacentral:tRNA from 1 species